rnacentral:rRNA from 1 species
UACGAAGGGGGCUAGCGUUGCUCGGAAUCACUGGGCGUAAAGGGUGCGUAGGCGGGUCUUUAAGUCAGGGGGGAAAUCCUGGAGCUCAACUCCAGAACUGCCUUUGAUACUGAGGAUCUUGAGUACGGGAGAGGUGAGUGGAACUGCGAGUGUAGAGGUGAAAUUCGUAGAUAUUCGGAAGAACACCAGUGGCGAAGGCGACUCACUGGACAUGUAUUGACGCUGAGGUGCGAAAGCGUGGGGAGCAAACAGG